CCACGCCGUAAACUAUGAUUACUCGGAGUUUGAAAUUAAUUUAAGCUCCCAAGCGAAAGCGAUAAGUAAUCCACCUGGGGAGUACGUCGGCAACGAUGAAACUCAAAGGAAUUGACGGGGACCCGCACAAGCAGCGGAGCAUGUGGUUUAAUUCGAAGCAACGCGAAGAACCUUACCGGGGCUUGACAUGGCAGAGAAGAUGGUAGAGAUAUCGUCGUCCUCUUCGGAGGCUCUGUUACAGGUGGUGCAUGGUUGU
rnacentral:rRNA from 1 species